GAUGAACGCUGGCGGCGUGCCUAAUACAUGCAAGUCGAGCGAACAGACGCGGCGCUUGCUCCUCUGACGUUAGCGGCGGACGGGUGAGUAACACGUGGAUACCCUACCUAUAAGACUGGUAUAACUUGGGAAAACCGGAGAUAAUACCGGAUAAUAUAUUGAACCGCAUGGUUCAAUAGUGAAAGACGGUUUUGCUGUCACUUCUCGCUGGAUCCGCGCCGCAUUGGCUAGUUGGUAAGUUAACGGCUUAUCAAGGGGACGAUGCGUAGCCGACCGGAUAGGGUGGUCGGCCGCACUGGAGCUGAGACACGGACCAGGCGCCUAAGGGAGGCAGCAGUAGGGAAUCGGCCGCAGUGGGCGAGAGCCUGGCGGAGCAAGCGCGAGUGAGUGAUGGAAGUCUUCGGAUCGUGAUGCUGUGUUAUUAGGGGAAAACAAAUGUGUACGUAGCUAUACACGUCUUGACGGUACCGGAUAAGAAAGCCACGGCUAACUACGUG
rnacentral:rRNA from 1 species